CGUGCGGCAACCGGCCGCCAUCUUACUGUACCCAAAACAGUCGCCGCAGCGAUCAUGGCAACUUCUUGCAAUUACGGUCGUACCAAUCGUACCGGCAAGGAUACAGGGCCGAAAUUUCUACAAGUUUCCUCACGGGGGCUACCCAGAGGAUCGUCUGUGUCAUCGAGCAUCAUCUGUGUCAUCGUCUGAUGCUAUCGAGCUUACAGCUGCCUCGACAUAUGCAAGAAACGGGUGCAAAACCUGAGCAAUGCCCACUAACUCCGAUCACCGCAGCGCCUCCAAAAAGUAAAAG